rnacentral:rRNA from 1 species
CAAGGAAUUUUCCGCAAUGGGCGCAAGCCUGACGGAGCAACGCCGCGUGCAGGACGACGGCCUUCGGGUUGUAAACUGCUUUUCGGUGGGACGAUACUGACGGUACCGCCGGAAGAAGCCCCGGCUAACUCCGUGCCAGCAGCCGCGGUAAGACGGAGGGUGCUAGCGUUGUUCGGAAUCACUGGGCGUAAAGGGCGCGUAGGCGGCUUGGACAGUCAGAUGUGAAAGCCCGGGGCUCAACCCCGGAACGGCAUUUGAUACUGCCAGGCUGGAGGUCGGAAGAGGAGGGUGGAAUAUCCAGUGUAGAGGUGAAAUUCGUAGAUAUUGGAUGGAACACCGGUGGCGAAAGCGGCUCUCUGGUCCGAACCUGACGCUGAGGCGCGAAAGCGUGGGGAGCAAACAGGAUUAGAUACCCCCGUAGUCC